rnacentral:rRNA from 1 species
UACGUAGGGGGCAAGCGUUGUCCGGAUUUAUUGGGCGUAAAGAGCGUGUAGGCGGUUCGGUAAGUCUGUCGUGAAAUCCUGAGGCUCAACCUCGGACGUGCGAUGGAUACUGCCGGGCUAGAGGAUGGUAGAGGCGAGUGGAAUUCCCGGUGUAGCGGUGAAAUGCGCAGAUAUCGGGAGGAACACCAGUAGCGAAGGCGGCUCGCUGGGCCAUUCCUGACGCUGAGACGCGAAAGCUAGGGGAGCGAACGAGG